rnacentral:rRNA from 1 species
GAUGAACGCUGGCGGCGUGCCUAAUACAUGCAAGUCGAGCGAACGGACGAGAAGCUUGCUUUUCUGAUGUUAGCGGCGGACGGGUGAGUAACACGUGGAUAACCUACCUAUAAGACUGGGAUAACUUCGGGAAACCGGAGCUAAUACCGGAUAAUAUUUUGAACCGCAUGGUUCAAAAGUGAAAGACGGUCUUGCUGUCACUUAUAGAUGGAUCCGCGCUGCAUUAGCUAGUUGGUAAGGUAACGGCUUACCAAGGCAACGAUGCAUAGCCGACCUGAGAGGGUGAUCGGCCACACUGGAACUGAGACACGGUCCAGACUCCUCGGGGAGGCAGCAGUAGGGAAUCUUCCGCAAUGGGCGAAAGCCUGACGGAGCAACGCCGCGUGAGUGAUGAAGGUCUUCGGAUCGUAAAACUCUGUUAUUAGGGAAGAACAUAUGUGUAAGUAACUGUGCACAUCUUGACGGUACCUAAUCAGAAAGCCACGGCUAACUACGUG